CCGACGGUGAGAGGCGAAAGCUGGGGGAGCAAACCGGAUUAGAUACCCGGGUAGUCCCAGCCGUAAACGAUGUGCGUUAGGUGUAUCGGUGACCACGAGUCACCGAGGUGCCGAAGAGAAAUCGUGAAACGUACCGCCUGGGAAGUACGGUCGCAAGGCUGAAACUUAAAGGAAUUGGCGGGGGAGCACCACAACAGGUGGAGUCUGCGGUUUAAUCGGACUCAACGCCGGAAAACUCACCAGAUAA
rnacentral:rRNA from 1 species